CGCCUGUUUAUCAAAAACAUGUCCUUUUGAUUAUUAUUUAAGGUUUGACCUGCCCAAUGAGGAAUUUAAUGGCCGCGGUAUUUUAACUGUGCUAAGGUAGCAUAAUCAUUUGUCUUUUAAUUUAAGGCUGGAAUGAAUGGUUGGACGAAACAUGAACUUUCUUUAAUUUAUUAUUAUGAAUUUAAUCUUUUAGUUAAAAAGCUAAAAUUUAUUUAAGGGACGAGAAGACCCUAUAGAUCUUUAUAUAUUAUAAAAUUAACUAUUUCGGUUGUUUAGUUUGUUUAAUUUUAAAGUGUAUUUGAUUGGGGCGAUCAGGGAAUUAAAGCAACUUCUUAACUUAUUUAUUCAUUAAUUAGUGUUUAUUAUGAUCCAAUUAUUAUUGAUUAUUAGUUUAAGUUACCUUAGGGAUAACAGCGUAAUUUUUUCGGAGAGCUCAUAUUGAUGAAAAAGUUUGCGACCUCGAUGUUGGAUUAAAAUAAGUAAUAGAUGUAGCAGUUUAUUACUAGGUCUGUUCGACCUUUAAAAUUUUACAUGAUCUGAGUUCAAACCGGAG
rnacentral:rRNA from 1 species